CGCGGUUAGACGGAGAGGGCUAGCGUUAAUCAAGAUGGCUUAAAGAGACCGUAGAGUUGAUUAUUAAAUAAUAAUCUAGAGUAUAUAGAUUAAGAUAAGAGACAUAGUAGUUAAGCGAUAAAAUGACUUUAAACUACGCUAUAUGACUGAUCUAAGGUUAAGACACUUAUCUAAUUAUAAUACUGACACUGAGGGUCGAAGGCUAGAGUAGCGAUACGGAUUAGAUACCCGAGUAGUUCUAGCUGUCAACUAUGAAUACUAAAUUAUAUAUUGAUUAUAUAAUUAAACACUAAAUUUAUAGUAUUCCGCCUGACUAGUAUGCACCCAAGUGUGAAAUUCAAGACAAUAGCCGGUUGUGAGCUUCAACAGUGGAGCCUGUUAU
rnacentral:rRNA from 1 species